rnacentral:misc_RNA from 1 species
GAGAGAGAGAGAGAGGGAGAAAGAAAAUAGAAAAAUUAACAAAAAUCUUACGUAAAACCACAAAAGGUAAAGAUUUAAUAGUACUGCUGAUUGAAUCCAGUAAAUUAUAGAUAUUGUAGGAAUGAGAAGUUAAAGAAAUAACUGCUCCAGGUGAAAGUAUCUCCAAGUCAGGUUCUUUGUCCUACGGCAUUGGGCCUUGCAGGAAAGCAUAAAAACUGCAAAUUAAUAAUAUCACAUAGGAGCACCUGGGCAGGGGUUAAAUCA